UACGAAGGGGGCUAGCGUUGUUCGGAGUUACUGGGCGUAAAGGGCGCGUAGGCGGCUGUCCAAGUCAGGGGUGAAAUCCCAGAGCUCAACUCUGGAACUGCCUUUGAUACUGGGUGUCUUGAGUAUGGAAGAGGUGAGUGGAAUUCCGAGUGUAGAGGUGAAAUUCGUAGAUAUUCGGAGGAACACCAGUGGCGAAGGCGGCUCACUGGUCCAUUACUGACGCUGAGGUGCGAAAGCGUGGGGAGCAAACAGG
rnacentral:rRNA from 1 species